rnacentral:misc_RNA from 1 species
UCAAACUUGGUCAUUUAGAGGAAGUAAAAGUCGUAACAAGGUUUCCGUAGGUGAACCUGCGGAAGGAUCAUCACUGAGAUCAGGGGUGUGCGGCGGCAGCGUGCUCUGCACUGCUUGCUUUGCUGCGCCCCCACCAAUCUUGUGUGCACUGUUUAACCCCCUCUUUCACAAAGAGUCAAGGGAGAGACACAUACCUACCACGACACGCGUGGCAGCAUGUGCUGUGUGUUGGCAAGUUUAAUGCGUAAGCAGUACUCUACUUGCCAACCACACACGCGCGCCAUGCCGUGUUGUGCGGCGUGUGUGUUCUCUUGUUCUCUCUGUAUAUAAUCACUUGUAAAUUAUUGUCUAACUUUAUAUAAUUAACAUGAACACAACUUUCAACAAUGGAUCUCUUGGCUCUCGCAUCGAUGAAGAACGCAGC